UGAGUUUGAGCUCCUGGGCGGAGAUUUUUGUUGCCUUGUAACUGGGAUUCCUAGAUCCAGCCUCCACCCUCUGAUUGCCCUAAGGAGGUUUUGGGGUUUUGUUUUGUUUUGUUUGUGUUUUCGUAGGAUGGUGGCAGUGAUUUUGAGGAGGGGAAGAGGAAGGAAGAUACAAGCAAGGGAAGUCACAGGCUGUGGUGCCUAGGCAGACCCUGGUUUGAAUCUUGGCCUUACCACUUUUUGCAUGUAAGUGGUAGGGGCAGCAGAUAGCUCAGGACAUAUCUUGGGUUUUUUUGUUUGUUUUUGUUUUGAGACAUAGUCUCACUCUGUUGCAGUGAGCCGAGAUGGCACCACUGCACUCCAGCCUGGGUAACAGAGCAAGACUCUGUCUUAA
rnacentral:lncRNA from 1 species